rnacentral:tRNA from 1 species
UCCGAUAUGGUGUAGUGGCUAACAUUAUCGCCUCUCACGCGAUAGCCCCGGGGUUCGAUUCCCCGUGUCGGAA